ensembl:lncRNA
GUCGAAGGAGCACGCUCAGUAUUUUACGGCAGCAGAGCAAGAACUCUUGAUUGAGGGAUUUCAGGAGUUUCAGAGUUUAAUUAAAACACAAGGGAACACUGCAAAGGCUGCAAAAGCAAGGAGAGAGGGCUGGCAGAAAGUUGCUGACAAAUUAAACUCCAACCAAGAAAAGGGCAGAGCAAAAAAAGACAGGUGGUGGUCCUGCACCCCCUCGUCACAUCCCGGCAGAGGAGCUGGCCCUAUAGGGUUGAAUGCCACCAGACCGUUGUUGAGGACAUCCCUGGGGGCAGCUCUUCCUUAGACGAGCAGCCGGGGUGCAGUAGCAGCAGCACCUUCAUAACUGUUUUACAUAACACCAUCACUUCUACCUGUUCCCAUGCAAGGGGUGACUGAAGCAUGCACAAUUCCAAAUACACACAUCCUCGCUCAGCUUCACGGAAAACGGCGUCCAGGGCAGAUCUGUACACACACAGAGAGGGAUGUCCAGGUUAGAAACGAUCCACUCAGCUGGGAUCGGCUACAGGUGUGACGGUGAGCACAGGUGCGCAGGCCAGGGGCGGGAGCCUGUAAUGAGCACCGCUCCGGCAGAGAAGAGAGAGAGAGAGAGAGAGAGCAAAAAAACCAAACAAAACAUGUUGCCAAACACCAAGUGAGCCAGCAGGGCUCCAGGGGACCAUGACCAUGACAAAAAUUAAAUUAAAACAACACAAACAAACAGCAUUGUAGCAUUACCUUAUUAUCCAGAAGUCCAGCCUGUGCAGCUGAAUGACUAUGUGCACUGCAGAUCAAUGACAUUGAUCUGUUGAAAUUGGUAUAGUUUAUAUUCACAUUGAUCCUGAGCACCAACUAAAGGAAAGAAAACAUUCGUUAAAGCCCGAUGCAAACUGUUUCCAAUCAUUUUAAGGAAAUGUGUUGUCCAACCCGUUUUUGUUACAUCUCUUGCAGGUGUGUCGGUGUGUCUGCGUUACAUGACUGACACUGUGCAGCCAAACUUCCCACUCUUCACUCUCAGUCCAGGCAUAUCCCCUCUGAGUCUGCAGGGUAGCUUUGACACGUUCAUGCUGUCCUAUUAUGAUUCCUUCAGUGUGAACCUGCAGCCCAUUGUGCACUUAUGGCCGGACAUUAAGCAGGACAUCUGGACCAGUGUCUGCCUCACUGUGGACACCAGUAAGAGUGUGGUUCAGAUGUUCAGUGGCGGGUAUAUGAGCCCCAGGAAGGUAAUGCCUUAUCAGGUGAGAAUGGCGACAAAGUUAGAAUCAGCAUGUUAAAAACUGUGUAGAUGUAGAGACAGAAAGACAAAUUUACUAAACAGAGCAAAGCAGUGUGCGAUUUUUACUUGAAAUGUCUCCAAUAAGCGGAAUAGACACCUUUCCGAGGAAGUUCAUUUUCCUCACUUGUAUCCAUGAUUUCAUUCUCUCACAGCUCAUGGUCACAAGGAAAAAUAGAUCCGCUGAUAAACUUCGAGCUUUGCCUUAAUAUUCAGCCAUCUCUUAAUCACAUUACAGUCUGUCUCUCAAGAAACAAGACCCUGAGAUAGCUGGACUCCACCAGCUGGAACAGUAACUCCUUUCCACCUUUUUUGUGCCUGAGACUUCAACAGAAGACAUAAUAAUGACAACACAGAAUCAUUUUUGUUUCGUUUUGUUUAUAUCUAAGUGAAGAAAAAAAAAUCAAAUGACUCCUUCAUUGUAAUCCAGAUUUCUAAAAGGCUUUAAAAAGUAGACAAUAUUAUUCUCAAAAUCACUUAAUCAUCUGUAAUUUUGAUCUUCUCUUUUUUCUGUGUGUUCAGUAUGUGUGGUCAGGCGAGCCUGUGAUUAGUUUCCCAGGCUUUGAUGGUCAGCUGACAGACGUCCAGGUGUGGGACUAUCCUCUGCGAUAUAGAGACAUCAUCUACUACAUGAGCAGAAGUUAUUACGGGUAAGAUCUCUAUGCUGAACUCACACACCGACCGUUUAAUCAUAACCACAGUAUAAAAGAAAAUAUUAAAGAUAUAAUUUUUUUUUUUUUUCAUUUAAAACAGGCCUUGACUUAAAUUUGUUUUUUAAUGUUUAAGUUUUGUUUUAAAGGCUUUUUAAAAGUGUGUUUUGGUUUGGUUUUAGGUCUUACAGCGGCUCCGUCAUCUCCUGGUCCAACAUCAGAUACAAUAACAGAGGAAGGGCAGUCUUGGAGGACACCUUUGACAUGCGAGCAAAAGUUGAGCAAGAGAGUAGACGAAAGGAAAAGAAGAUGAGAUUCUUCAGUGUGGAGGAGGAAAACAAGCUGCUGCUUUAAGUCAGUCCCCACAAACUCCUUUGUUAAAAUGUUAAGAUUUCAACCAGAAAUAAACAUGUUUGCAGCCUGCUGCCAAAUAAACAAACAAAAGCUGGUGUUGUCGCUAUAAAUAGUUUCCACCUAUCCCACUGUUGCACCAGGCUGAAAACAUGUUCAUCUGUCCUGUGAAGCUGAGAUGUCUUUUUCCCAUUGGCUAAAAAGUGGAUGGUGGUCCUUCCCCUUCUUCUUUUGUAUUAAUGUAUAUAUCAGAGUUCACUUCAUGCAGCCGAACAGCGUAAUCGGUAAUCGGUUAUCUUUGUUUCACCAGCCUUUUUUGUUGUUUUUUCGAUCAUAAUCACUUGAAGUCGCCAAAUGUCAGUGGAAGUUUUUACACAGAGGUCAGGGCUGAGUUUAAUUUUCCCAUUGACUUCUAAAGGACAGUCUUUUUGAAGCUACAGGAGUUGCCAUCUGGUGGCCAAUAUGAAAAAUGCAGUUUUAAUGCACUUCCAAAAGCACCGACUCUGUAAGCGUAUAAUCUCAUAUUUUACUUGGAAGUUUUACUUUUAAACUAUGAAACGUCUUAAGAAAAAACAACAAUACAUCUCAAAUUUAUAAAGGAAUUCUGCUGUAGUCAUAGAAACCUGUCAGCAAGACUCACUGGGCUUACACUGUAAAGGAAAUGAGGAAAUAAUUAACUUUAUGACUUAAAUAAACAGAAAUUAUCCGUAAAUUAAACAAAAUGCCAAUUUUACUGUGUAAGAAAAUGAAAAUGAUAUUGUAAAUUGUGGGGGGAAAAUCAACAGAAAAACAAACAUUUUCCUCUGUUUCAUCAUAAAUACUGUACUUUUUCAGAGCAUGGGCUGCAGUCUGAAGUGGAUUAAUCCUGCCUUUUUACAUCUGUAUUUAAUAUUCAGUAUGUUGAUGUGUAUGUUGGAUAUUCUGUUAUUCAACUGUGCUUUUAUAUUGCUGAUGUAAAUGUGAUUAGCACUGUUGUCCCUUACCAACUUACAAGAAAAAAAUCAAUACAAUCAACGUUUGCAGGCCUAUGUCACCUUACAAUGAUAGAGCCAAGUCCAACUUAAUUGUUUAUGUAUUUUAAAAUUUCACAAUCACCGUACAAAUAUGAGUGUACAGGAAAGGAGUGUCCCCUUAUCUGUAAAAUAUCUGGAAUUUAGGCCAGGUUAAACCAUUGAAAAGCUCAGUAUACUCCUAAUAUACACAGGUUAUGUAAGAUGGUGAAAUAUUGUUUUUUUUCCCAAAAAUUACCAAGAAAUUAUCAACUACUUAAAUUUACUUACAAUGUAAUUAUUUCUUCAUUCGCAUAGAAAACAUGAAUUUAUGCAUAACUUAAAAUCACUUACACAGUACUUCACAUGAUUUCCAGAAUAGUGUCUCCUUUCCUGUAAAACAUCUGAAGUUAUGUAAUUAUUAAAAUUACUUAUUUACUACCGAAAAUGACUUACACAUUACAUACUUGAGUACAUACUAAAUUAAGUACUUGUGCAGUACAUAAUUUACUUACAGUAUAACUAUUUCUAGUGUGCCUAGCUUUAAUUAUUUGUAGGUAAACUUAAUUCUAACUUUAAAUAACAUACAUGGAAAUUACAUUUAAUUAUGCUCUUAGUCACGGGUAUUAUAAUGUAUUACUAAAAAGUGCUUAUUUUAAGCAAAUUUCCCACUUGUGGGACUAAUAAAGGUUUAUCUUAUCUUAUUCCUAAACUUACCCACUAACUGUCUUGUGUUCCAGCCUAACCUCAGCCGACCUGUCUCACUGUUGGAUUUCUCUUUCUAACAUGGCCAUGUCUUAUUUAUUUUACAAGUAAGUAAAUAAGUAAAACUUUAUAAGUACGUCAUAGGAGCCAACAAUGCAUAAAAAAACAAAAUUAGAGAAAUUAAUAAAAAGCUGAUUUUAAAAGAUGUUUUUAACUGGCUUUUAAAUAAGACCUUACCAGAGGCAGGUGAAAACACUGAGCACAUAUGAACCAAUGCACUGUAAGACACUUUCGAACAAAAGUGUAGUUAAAAUGUCCAGAGAGCAAGAAAACGCUGUCAUUGUACCACUAAGCUUCGUUACUGCUGCAAAACUGCCUAAGAUAACAGGUCGAGCUGAUGUGACAACCGUCUGCAUAGAUGCUGAGGAAGAGAUAUUAUUUCUUACAUUUCUGACCUUAAAACAAAAAAUGAAAGAAAAUAAGAAAAGAAAUAAGAAAAUAUAUACAACAUAAAGAGUCUUUAGAUAGUGUGCAGAUAACAUCAGUCUACCCAGUGUCAUAAAAAGAUUUUCACAGUUCUGCCCUUUUACUUAUUCUGUGGCCAUAAGGUUUGAAAACAGCCUCUGGGAAUCUUAUAUCCUCUUUCCGAAAUGCUUCAGUAUCAGAGGAAACAAAACAAAAGCUCAAGAACAAAAUGUGGAACUAAAAAUCUGUUUUGGUUACCGUUCAAUCUGUUUUCAUGUUUCAUGUUAGGUGGGACUUGUGGUCCUCCUACAAAAACUGUGUGUCAGAAAGAAUCUGUUUACCAAUCUGUUUGCUGCAUUACUAUGUGUAAACUAUUUCACAGAUGUAAAUACACGCACUGAAAUAUAAUGAAAUGAGGCUCUCUAGCAUUCUGUACUGAGAAUUAUCGUUGCAGCAUCAACAUACGCGCACACAUGCAGGAUAAAACUUCACGUUUCCACACAUUCAAACCUUCCUGCUCCUGUUUGAAAUAUGUUGCUUACUUGCGAUGAUUUUACAUCUCAACAUUUGUUACUGAGUGACGGAAAUAAGAUUUCCUUAAGAUUAUUCAGAGAUCUAGCAUCAGCGCUUGUAGACUUUAAAAAACUGCAGCAAACAGAAAGCUGCCUCUCUCCACUUUGUUUUGCCAGGUCUCCUACACCUGAAUGCCAAACCCUGUGGAGUGAAAAUGCAGAUACUCAUGCAUCAACCCAGCACCUCAACCUACUGAGCAGAAUGUGAUAGCCAACUGUAUCAAAAGCUGAGGUAAGGGCCAACAUGAGCAGCACAGAACAGUAACACUUAUCACUCUGCAUCAAAAUGUCAUUUGAUACUCUCAGACCAAGCCAAACAAAAUAUCUGACUCCAGGGAGCCCCUCCUUUCUUAUUUUUUACUGGGCUAAUAUUUCAGCUCAUGCUACCCUAACAUGGCACCCUUUCUUAAAUAAAUGUGUCUUGACUAAUGUACUCAUAGUAAACUGGUAUAUUCAGUCAGAAAAGUGUCUGGAGCUCUGUGUGAAAGUUUGGGCAACAAGUUUAAGGAAGUGAAAGAUGAAAUUUACUGACACAGCAAGCUGUUAAUACGAGAUAAAGUUCAGCACUGGUUUGAGUAGAGGAAGUAAAACCUCACAUACAGAUUUAAUGAAAGCUAAACUAACUUAAGAACUAGAAUUUCCAUAUAGUAUUGGUUCUUGUGUCAGUUUUACCUCUUGUUAAAUGAUGUGGAAAAGCUGUUGUGGUGAGCAGAGCUACUCAAUCUUUUAUUGUUAUUUUAGUCUAAAUAGACUGGAAUCAGCCUUUAUGGACUGUAUUCAUACUGCACAGCAGUCAUGACCUCUGUGUUGAACUUGCAGCCAGGUUGAGGUGUGUUUGCGGUUCAGGACAGCACAAUGAGACAUCACAUGGUCCUCUUCAUGAUAGAUUCCUCCAUGUAGACAGUUACAGCUCAGUGAACUGAACCGGAUUACUGACACAUUAUCAAUUAUUCAAAUAUUCUAAAAACAGGUCCAUUGCUUUUGUGUUGAUGUUUUUUUUAAAGUAUUUGAGCAGUGAGUUUCUGUCACACUGUGCUGUGUGGAUUGUUGAUUAACUUUAGCAGAGCCAAAUAUAGGAUGCAGGAGAGGCACGAAACUCAAAGGAAGCUUUCAAAGCUGAUAGUCCAGGAAGCAAACAAAGUCCAAAAUGCCCAAAACACACAGGAAUAAUGUCAGAGUCCAAACACCAGAAGUCAGAAGGGAUGCAAAUACAGGACGCACAGAGCAAGGAAACACACAGCUGCAAGAACAUCACGACAAAGGACAAAGGAAGACUGAGAAAAUAUAUACAAGAAAAAGACAGUUAACAUAAGAAUAAUAAUAAGAAGAAGAAGAAGACGUUUAUUUAUGUAGCGGUUUUUAAAACACACAGUUAUAAAGUGCUUCACAGUUUGGAUAAAAAACACAUUACAUUAAGUUUUACAUGUUAUCCAUGCAAACUCAGAGACGUAGGCACUGUCUAAACCAGGGGUCGGCAACCCUGGGCACGCGUGCCACAGCUGGCACGCGAAGGGUUAACUGAUGGCACUGAUGCGCCACUGAUGCAGUCUAUCUGGGUCAGAUAUAAACCAAGUUUAGGUGUAGUUUAUUUUCAUUGUGCUGACUUUUUACAGUCAGUUACAAUAAGCGGAAUCGUCCGGUAACGGAGUUUGUCCCGGACUUCAGCUAGAAUGGAAAAAGACACAAAGCUGGAGUUAUUCUGUGUCUUUACGCUGUCAGCUGCCUCUUCAUCUCUCAUUCUCUCCCCUCCCUCUCCUGUUGCUACUUAAAUCAUGAAACUCAUCAGUGAUCAGCUGAUCGGUAUUUCUGACGCAAGUCCGUCUCUCUUGUUUGUUUAUCGCCCACUUUGCGCCAGAAAGAGGAAACCUGCGGAUGUCGCGCUAAACAACAGCAGCACGUUUAAGCUUGAUCAGCUGUUGUUAGAAUUUAUUUAAUAUUAAUUUCUAGUAUCAGCUGAUGUUUGCUGGAGCCACAGCUGUAAAAGCUGCUGGUCAUGAUAUCGGUUUGGAUAUGUGGUGAGAGGGAAACAUGCAGAUGAAACCAGGAGAUGUCCUUACUGAAUCAUCAGAGCUGAACUGGUGAUGGAGAAACAGGUUUACCUUUUAGGUGACAUGGAUAAGUUGAAGGGAAGUCAUGAGCUGUUUCUGAGAGACAAAUAACACCAGGAUCCUUUUCUACGUAGCUGACAGCUGGUAACUGUGCAGGGGCGGGUCUAGCAAAGUUUUGCCAGGGGGCCAUGUAGGGCAUUAACAGGUAAAAGGGAGCACAAAGAAAUACUUUUCUUUCUUAUUCUCAUUUAAAAUGUCUAACUUUUAUUAAAUAAUUGUCCGAAUCUUACAACCAAAGUUUUUAUCUGAUGAAAAAUGUAUAGAAAUCAUCUGCUUCAGGAGCUGUCCGCUCAGCGCAGCAUCAGCACCGCAGAAA